CCCACCAGCCCCUGUCCAAGAAAAUGUGAUUGUAAUUUUUUUGGCCAAAGUCUGAGUUUAAGAGCUUUGCUUUUUAUUCCAAAGUAAAGAAAAUAAAUUAUAAUUCAAAUAAGAAAGUAGGCAUUCCCUUGUGACGCAGCAGGUAGAUUCUCUGGGAAAAAAAGGAAAAAAA